rnacentral:rRNA from 1 species
UACGUAGGGGGCUAGCGUUGUCCGGAAUCAUUGGGCGUAAAGAGCGCGUAGGCGGCCAGAUAAGUCCGGUGUGAAAGUCACAGGCUCAACCUGUGAAUGCCGCUGGAAACUGUCUGGCUAGAGUCCGGGAGGGGCGAGUGGAAUUCCUGGUGUAGCGGUGAAAUGCGCAGAUAUCAGGAGGAACACCAAUGGCGAAGGCAGCACUCUGGGACGGUACUGACGCUGAGACGCGAAAGCGUGGGGAGCGAACAGG